rnacentral:lncRNA from 1 species
AGAGCGUGCGCGGCCGCCGAGCACAUGGGCCCGCGGGCCGGCGGGCUCGGGGCGGCCUGGCCCGGGAGGAGCGGCGAGGGGGCGCCAGCAAGGAUGGGCCGCGGCACCCCCGGCCCCCGGCGAGUGGAUUUCCACGCGGGAAGGAGGUUGGCGGCGCCGGUGACCUUCGGAGACACGGCUGGAUCCACCUUCCA